rnacentral:tRNA from 2 species
GCGGAUGUAGCUCAGCAGGCAGAGCACGGCCACGCCAUGGCCGGGGCGCGAGUUCGACUCUCGCCGUUCGCACCA